rnacentral:rRNA from 1 species
CACGUAGGGGGCAAGCGUUGUCCGGAUUUAUUGGGCGUAAAGAGCUCGUAGGUGGUUCGGUAAGUCAGGUGUGAAACCUCCAGGCUCAACCUGGAGACGCCACUUGAUACUGCUGUGACUGGAGUCCGGUAGGGGAGCGUGGAAUUCCUGGUGUAGCGGUGAAAUGCGCAGAUAUCAGGAGGAACACCAGCGGCGAAGGCGGCGCUCUGGGCCGGUACUGACACUGAGGCACGAAAGCGUGGGGAGCAAACAGG